AGCUCCACUAGCGUAUAUUAAAGUUGUUGCAGUUAAAAAGCUCGUAGUUGGAUUUCUGGUAUGAUACGCCUGACCCGCUCUUUUUUAAGAGUGUGUGUCGGCGCGAGUCUGCCAUCUUUGUCAGUAAAUACUGCUCUACCCUUCAUUGGGCUGGGGUAGUACAAGCUGAAUCGAUUACCUUGAAAAAAUGAGGGUGUUUAAAGCAGGCAAACGUUUUGGAUCUACUAGCAUGGAAUAAUAUCAUAGGACUUCGGUUCUAUUUUGUUGGUUUAUUGAAUCGAUGUAAUGAUUGAUAGGGAUAGUUGGGGGGUGCUAGUAUUCAGUGGCCAGAGGUGAAAUUCUUGGAUUCACUGAAGACUGCCUUCUGCGAAAGCAUUC
rnacentral:rRNA from 1 species